ACACGACUACAUUAGAUACCCCCGUAGUCCCAGCCGUAAACAAUGUGCGUUAGGUGCGUCGGUAACCACGUGUUACUGAUGCGCCGAAGAGAAAUCGUGAAACGCACCACCUGGGAAGUACGGUCGCAAGGCUGAAACUUAAAGGAAUUGGCGGGGAGCACCACAACAGGUGGAGCCUGCGGUUUAAUUGGAUUCAACGCCGGACAUCUCACCGGAUAAGACAGCUGAAUGAUUGUCAAUCUGAAGGUUUUACAUGACUAGCUG
rnacentral:rRNA from 1 species